AUGAUGCGCGAAGCCUCCUAUUGGAUUAGUUCUCGUCGUUUGUGUACUGUUAGUAAAGAUUGGUAUCGUGAUGCAAACGCACGGGAACUUGACAGCGAGCUACUUGUGGCAGCCGGGUGAGUUUGCACGGCGGAUGCUAGGAGAGCGGCCGUCGCCCGUCCCACCGACGAGGGAGCUGUGGCCUCCUCCGCAACAACCGUUGAGCAUUAGCACCCUACAUAUCGCUUAUUUGCAAGAUGAGCCAUUACCAAGGCGAGCAGCGACACUACCUUGUCAAACUUUCCCAGCAGCAAUUCACUCCGAACAUGAAUACAGUAGGCCACGAGUGUGUACCGUUGGAACGAAUACCGAACCCCCACCGACAAUACUCACCAGGAUGAGGCAGCUAAUGAAACGCCAAGACGACGAGCACGACAAGACGAUUGUCGCAAGCUGUCCACCAACCGGACGUUUGACUGCUGUACCUAGGGAAACCACUUUUGAUAUCAAAGACGAUGAAAAUUCGGCACGGCGUGCAAUUAAUGGAAUAAAGAAGGCUAUAUCAGGAAUGAAAUAUCGAGUGGCUCCAGGAUCUGAAGCUGUAGACAGCCCUAAAAUUGUUUAUCACGUGCCUAAGCCCGGAGACAGAAUGACUACGACAUUUGGAGCCGAAGAAAAUAAACGCAGGUGGUGUAAACUACCGUCACGUACAUCGUGUUCCCGUCGGCUGCGAGCUUUCAGUGAGUGGUGCAGACAUCGCCCUCGACGUCCUCCCAGACGGCAACCCCAGCCACCUCGACUACAAAUCACGCAGGUGUGAUGAUGAAGAACACUCGUAGCCGAAUAAUGAGCGUAAUUCGCUAAGUGCUUUGUUGUGUCAAAAAUUAUUCAGCCAAAUUAAUCAAAUUAUUACAACUGACAAAUAAAACGAACGUGGUAUUGAACGCUAAGCGAACAUUGUGUACGUUUGUAGAAAGAUAGAGUUUUAAGUAGAGUUUUUGGCUAAUAAAUGUGUUUCCAUAAUCUGUGUUUUGUUGGCGCACGGGCGGGCGGGUGGAUGCAAGAGGGUUUGGGAAGGCUGGGCGGGCGGGCGGCAGUCCCGUGUUAGGCGCCGCGCCGCCCGGUCUUACCGCCCGAUUACAAAAUCCCGCCCUAACGGUCUACCACGUACCAGCCGAUUAUAUCCUAAAGCAAAUCCCAUUAUAUCGUAAAUUGUGGUUCAAUCAAAAAGUUUCACCAACUGAAUGUGGAUCGGUAAACAUUCUUCAAAUUUUGUUUUGCAUUGAAAGCAAUUAGUACUCAUAAAAUUCAACGUUUUGGAAGGCUGAUGUUGUGAUCAAUUGUGAUAAAUUGUCGUUGGAAGUGCAACCAGUUGUACAUUAGUGGUAG